ACACUCCUACGGGAGGCAGCAGUGGGGAAUUUUGGACAAUGGGCGAAAGCCUGAUCCAGCAAUGCCGCGUGUGUGAAGAAGGCCUUCGGGUUGUAAAGCACUUUUGUCCGGAAAGAAAUCCUUGGCUCUAAUACAGUCGGGGGAUGACGGUACCGGAAGAAUAAGCACCGGCUAACUACGUGCCAGCAGCCGCGGUAAUACGUAGGGUGCGAGCGUUAAUCGGAAUUACUGGGCGUAAAGCGUGUGCAGGCGGUUUGCUAAGACCGAUGUGAAAUCCCCGGGCUCAACCUGGGAACUGCAUUGGUGACUGGCAGGCUAGAGUAUGGCAGAGGGGGGUAGAAUUCCACGUGUAGCAGUGAAAUGCGUAGAGAUGUGGAGGAAUACCGAUGGCGAAGGCAGCCCCCUGGGCCAAUACUGACGCUCAUGCACGAAAGCGUGGGGAGCAAACAGGAUUAGAAACCCGAGUAGUCCCAUGAU
rnacentral:rRNA from 1 species